rnacentral:rRNA from 1 species
AUUGAACGCUGGCGGCAUGCCUUACACAUGCAAGUCGAACGGCAGCACGGGAGCAAUCCUGGUGGCGAGUGGCGAACGGGUGAGUAAAGUAUCGGAACGUACCUUUCAGUGGGGGAUAACGUAGCGAAAGUUACGCUAAUACCGCAUAUUCUGUGAGCAGGAAAGCAGGGGAUCGCAAGACCUUGCGCUGAUGGAGCGGCCGAUAUCAGAUUAGCUAGUUGGUGAGGUAAAGGCUCACCAAGGCGACGAUCGAUAGCUGGUCUGAGAGGAUGAUCAGCCACACUGGAACUGAGACACGGUCCAGACUCCUACGGGAGGCAGCAGUAGGGAAUAUUGGACAAUGGGGGCAACCCUGAUCCAGCCAUGCCGCGUGAGUGAAGAAGGCCCUCGGGUUGUAAAGCUCUUUUGUCCGGAAAGAAAAGCAAUCGGUUAAUACCCGGUUGUUCUGACGGUACCGGAAGAAUAAGCACCGGCUAACUUCGUGCC